AACGAACGCUGGCGGCAGGCCUAACACAUGCAAGUCGAACGCUCCGCAAGGGGGAGUGGCGCACGGGUGAGUAACACGUGGGAACCUACCUUCUGGUACGGAACAACCAAGGGAAACUUUGGCUAAGACCGUAUACGACCUCCGGGUGAAAGAUUGAUCGCCGGAAGAGGGGCCCGCGUCCGAUUAGGUAGUUGGUGAGGUAACGGCUCACCAAGCCUUCGAUCGGUAGCUGGUCUGAGAGGAUGACCAGCCACACUGGGGACUGAGACACGGCCCAGACUCCUACGGGAGGCAGCAGUGGGGAAUAUUGGACAAUGGGCGCAAGCCUGAUCCAGCCAUGCCGCGUGAGUGAUGAAGGCC
rnacentral:rRNA from 1 species